UACGUAGGGUGCGAGCGUUGUCCGGAAUUAUUGGGCGUAAAGAGCUUGUAGGCGGUUUGUCGCGUCUGCCGUGAAAAUUCGAGGCUCAACCUCGAACUUGCGGUGGGUACGGGCAGACUAGAGUGUGGUAGGGGAGACUGGAAUUCCUGGUGUAGCGGUGAAAUGCGCAGAUAUCAGGAGGAACACCGGUGGCGAAGGCGGGUCUCUGGGCCGAUACUGACGCUGAGGAGCGAAAGCGUGGGUAGCAAACAGG
rnacentral:rRNA from 1 species